rnacentral:rRNA from 1 species
UCGGGAAUUUUGGGCAAUGGGCGAAAGCCUGACCCAGCAACGCCGCGUGAAGGAUGAAGUAUUUCGGUAUGUAAACUUCGAAAGAAUAGGAAGAAUAAAUGACGGUACUAUUUAUAAGGUCCGGCUAACUACGUGCCAGCAGCCGCGGUAAUACGUAGGGACCAAGCGUUGUUCGGAUUUACUGGGCGUAAAGGGCGCGUAGGCGGCAAUUCAAGUCAUCUGUGAAAUCUCCGGGCUUAACUCGGAACGGUCAGAUGAUACUGCUUUGCUAGAGUGCAGAAGGGGCAAUCGGAAUUCUUGGUGUAGCGGUGAAAUGCGUAGAUAUCAAGAGGAACACCUGAGGCGAAGGCGGUUGCUGGGCUGAUACUGACGCUGAGGCGCGAAAGCUAGGGUAGCAAACGGGAUUAGAUACCCCAGUAGUCCCUGAGCGGGCUGGCAAGGCGCAU